rnacentral:rRNA from 1 species
AUUGAACGCUGGCGGCAGGCUUAACACAUGCAAGUCGAGCGGAGAGAGGUAGCUUGCUACUGAUCUUAGCGGCGGACGGGUGAGUAAUGCUUAGGAAUCUGCCUAUUAGUGGGGGACAACAUUUCGAAAGGAAUGCUAAUACCGCAUACGUCCUACGGGAGAAAGCAGGGGAUCUUCGGACCUUGCGCUAAUAGAUGAGCCUAGGUCGGAUUAGCUAGUUGGUGAGGUAAUGGCUCACCAAGGCGACGAUCCGUAACUGGUCUGAGAGGAUGAACAGUCAAACUGGAACUGAGACACGGUCCAGACUCCUACGGGAGGCAGAAGGGGGGAAUAUUGGACAAUGGGCGAAAGCCUGAUCCAGCCAUGCCGCGUGUGUGGAGAAGGUCUUCGGAUUGUAAAGCACUUUAAGUUGGGAGGAAGGGCAGUAAGUUAAUACCUUGCUGUUUUGACGUUACCGACAGAAUAAGCACCGGCUAACUCUGUGCCAGCCGCCGCGGUAAAAC